rnacentral:sRNA from 1 species
AAACCUAAUACAACAGAAGCCCUGCCUCUCUUCCAUCUAUACGGUUCCGAGACCGCGCCAAUAGGAAUCAGGUUU